rnacentral:rRNA from 1 species
AGCGAACGCUGGCGGCGUGCUUAACACAUGCAAGUCGAACGGUAAGGCCCUUCGGGGUACACGAGUGGCGAACGGGUGAGUAACACGUGGGUGAUCUGCCCUGCACUUCGGGAUAAGCCUGGGAAACUGGGUCUAAUACCGGAUAGGACCACUGCCUGCAUGGGUGGUGGUGGAAAGCUUUUGCGGUGUGGGAUGGGCCCGCGGCCUAUCAGCUUGUUGGUGGGGUGAUGGCCUACCAAGGCGACGACGGGUAGCCGGCCUGAGAGGGUGACCGGCCACACUGGGACUGAGAUACGGCCCAGACUCCUACGGGAGGCAGCAGUGGGGAGUAUUGCACAAUGGGCGCAAGCCUGAUGCAGCGACGCCACGUGAGGGAUGACGGCCUUCGGGUUGUAAACCUCUUUCAGCACCGACGAAGCGCAAGUGACGGUAGGUGCAGAAGAAGGACCGGCCAACUACGCGCCAGCCGCCGCAGUAA